rnacentral:rRNA from 1 species
CUCCGUAGGUGAACCUGCGGAGGGAUCAUUACACAAAUAUGAAGGCGGGCUGGAACCUCUCGGGGUUACAGCCUUGCUGAAUUAUUCACCCUUGUCUUUUGCGUACUUCUUGUUUCCUUGGUGGGUUCGCCCACCACUAGGACAAACAUAAACCUUUUGUAAUUGCAAUCAGCGUCAGUAACAAAUUAAUAAUUACAACUUUCAACAACGGAUCUCUUGGUUCUGGCAUCGAUGAAGAACGCAGCGAAAUGCGAUAAGUAGUGUGAAUUGCAGAAUUCAGUGAAUCAUCGAAUCUUUGAACGCACAUUGCGCCCUUUGGUAUUCCAAAGGGCAUGCCUGUUCGAGCGUCAUUUGUACCCUCAAGCUUUGCUUGGUGUUGGGCGUCUUGUCUCUAGCUUCGCUGGAGACUCGCCUUAAAGUAAUUGGCAGCCGGCCUACUGGUUUCGGAGCGCAGCACAAGUCGCACUCUCUAUCAGCAAAGGUCUAGCAUCCAUUAAGCCUUUUUUUUCAACUUUUGACCUCGGAUCAGGUAGGGAUACCCGCUGAACUUA